CCUACGGGUGGCUGCAGUGGGGAAUAUUGGACAAUGGGGGGAACCCUGAUCCAGCCAUGCCGCGUGUGUGAAGAAGGCCCUCGGGUUGUAAAGCACUUUCAGUGAGGAAGAACGCCUGGUGGUUAAUACCCAUCAGGAAAGACAUCACUCACAGAAGAAGCACCGGCUAACUCCGUGCCAGCAGCCGCGGUAAUACGGAGGGUGCGAGCGUUAAUCGGAAUUACUGGGCGUAAAGCGCGCGUAGGUGGCUUGAUAAGCCGGUUGUGAAAGCCCCGGGCUCAACCUGGGAACGGCAUCCGGAACUGUCAAGCUAGAGUGCAAGAGAGGAAGGUAGAAUUCCCGGUGUAGCGGUGAAAUGCGUAGAGAUCGGGAGGAAUACCAGUGGCGAAGGCGGCCUUCUGGACUGACACUGACACUGAGGUGCGAAAGCGUGGGUAGCAAACAGGAUUAGAUACCCCAGUAGUC
rnacentral:rRNA from 1 species